rnacentral:rRNA from 1 species
GACGAACGCUGGCGGCGUGCCUAAUACAUGCAAGUUGAGCGAUGAAGAUUGGUGCUUGCACCAAUUUGAAGAGCAGCGAACGGGUGAGUAACGCGUGGGGAAUCUGCCUUUGAGCGGGGGGCAACAUUUGGAAACGAAUGCUAAUACCGCAUAACAACUUUAAACAUAAGUUUUAAGUUUGAAAGAUGCAAUUGCAUCACUCAAAGAUGAUCCCGCGUUGUAUUAGCUAGUUGGUGAGGUAAGGGCUCACCAAGGCGAUGAUACAUAGCCGACCUGAGAGGGUGAUCGGCCACAUUGGGACUGAGACACGGCCCAAACUCCUACGGGAGGCAGCAGUAGGGAAUCUUCGGCAAUGGACGAAAGUCUGGCCGAGCAACGCCGCGUGAGUGAAGAAGGUUUUCGGAUCGUAAAACUCUGUUGGUAGAGAAGAACGUUGGUGAGAGUGGAAAGCUCAUCAAGUGACGGUAACUACCCAGAAAGGGACGGCUAACUACGUG